rnacentral:tmRNA from 1 species
GGGAAUGAUAUAUACUAGAGAUCGACAUUCAAAAUGU